rnacentral:rRNA from 1 species
GAUGAACGCUGGCGGCGUGCCUAAUACAUGCAAGUCGAGCGAAUGGAUUGAGAGCUUGCUCUUAUGAAGUUAGCGGCGGACGGGCGAGUAACACGUGGGUAACCUGCCCAUAAGACUGGGAUAACUCCGGGAAACCGGGGCUAAUACCGGAUAACAUUUUGAACCGCAUGGUUCGAAAUUGAAAGGCGGCUUCGGCUGUCACUUAUGGAUGGACCCGCGUCGCAUUAGCAAGUUGGUGAGGUAACGGCUCACCAAGGCAACGAUGCGUAGCCGAGCUGAGAGGGUGAGCGGCCACACUGGGACUGCGACACGGCCCUGACUCCUACGGGGGGCAGCAGGAGGGAAUCUUCCGCAAUGGACGAAAGUCGGACGGAGCAACGCCGCGUUAGUGAUGAAGGCUUUCGGGUCGUAAAACUCUGUUGUUAGGGAAGAACAAGUGCUAGUUGAAUAAGCUGGCACCUUGACGGUACCUAACCAGAAAGCCACGGCUAACUACGUGCCAGCCGCCGCGGUAA